rnacentral:rRNA from 1 species
UACAGAGGGUGCAAGCGUUGUUCGGAAUUAUUGGGCGUAAAGGGCGCGUAGGCGGUGCGGUAAGUCUUUUGUGAAAUCUCCGGGCUCAACUCGGAGUCUGCAGGAGAAACUGCCGUGCUGGAGUAUGGGAGAGGUGAGUGGAAUUCCCGGUGUAGCGGUGAAAUGCGUAGAUAUCGGAAGGAACACCUGUGGCGAAAGCGGCUCACUGGACCAUAACUGACGCUGAUGCACGAAAGCUAGGGGAGCAAACAGG